rnacentral:ncRNA from 2 species
AAUGCCAUUCGCGUGAAGGGUUCCCGGCGACGGGAUCAAAAGGGAAGCCGGUGCGCAGGCCGGGUCGGUGCGACCCCAUCCGCAAGACCGGCGCUGUACCCGCAACUGUGACCGGAUAGCGGCCACCCCGAAGAUGCCACUGGGUUUCAGCCUGGGAAGGCGGGGUGGGUGCGGCGACCCGGAAGCCAGGAGACCUGCCUCUCACGGUCGAUCCAC